GAUCUUUCCGGUGGCUCAGUGGUUAGAGCGUCCGCCUUGGAUGUGGGAGGUUUUUGCUUCGAUCCCCGGCCGAGUCA